AUGGAGCCCAAAGAGAAGUCCGAAACGACCAGCGCUGCCAGCCCACCUCCACCGCGGCUGGACUGCAUAAAGUGCUUCGAUGCGCUAUGGUUCUGCUAUACCCCUUUCCACCAGCUGCAGACCUACUACCGCCAUGGGGAUUUUGACACCUGCUUCGGCAAGUGGGGCGACCUCGUUGACUGUCUCUCGCUCAAGACGAAGCGGAGGGCGGAGGUAGAGGAGAUCCUCAUCGCGCGGGAGAAGGCCAAGCCGCACAUCUGGACCUUCCGGACUGUCGAAGAGGCGCAGGCGAACUGGUGGCAGAUGUACAAGCACAAGGUGGUGAUGUCGUCGCCACCCAAGACUGUAGGUUCUGCUGCGCCUCCUCCUGGAUCAUCUGGUGCUCUUUCCUGA
rnacentral:rRNA from 1 species